CCUGGUGGCUCAGAGGGUAAAGCGUCUGCCUGCAAUGCAGGAGACCUGGGUCCGAUCCCUGGGUCAGGA
rnacentral:tRNA from 1 species